AACUUUCAACAACGGAUCUCUUGGUUCUGGCAUCGAUGAAGAACGCAGCGAAAUGCGAUAAGUAAUGUGAAUUGCAGAAUUCAGUGAAUCAUCGAAUCUUUGAACGCACAUUGCGCCCCUCGGUAUCCCGGGGGGCAUGCCUGUUCGAGCGUCA
rnacentral:rRNA from 2 species